rnacentral:rRNA from 1 species
UACGUAGGGGGCAAGCGUUGUCCGGAUUUAUUGGGCGUAAAGAGCGUGUAGGCGGCCAGAUAGGUCAGCUGUGAAAACUCGAGGCUCAACCUCGAGAUGUCGGCUGAAACCAUCUGGCUAGAGUCCGGAAGAGGAGAAUGGAAUUCCCGGUGUAGCGGUGAAAUGCGCAGAUAUCAGGAAGAACACCCGUGGCGAAGGCGGCUCUCUGGGACGGUACUGACGCUGAGACGCGAAAGCGUGGGGAGCGAACAGG